UCGUGCUAGAUGGGGCGUUAGCGGUGCCCUGUAACCCGAAAUCCGCUUAUGCGGGGUUGAACGUCCUCCGGAAAUCUUUGAUUUGAGUUCUUUUUUGGUGCUUUGGAGACGAGGUGGACCCUACGUAACAGGCCCUUACGAACCCCGUCAGAUCCGGGAGGAAGCAGCGGUAACUAAGUAAGCAUGUGUCGUGGCGGAAUCUAUCUCUACCCUUCGGGCGGCUAAAAUCUCUCGGUCAGGUGAUUGAUGGAGGAUGCACGG
rnacentral:SRP_RNA from 1 species